rnacentral:lncRNA from 1 species
GAUCAUUCAGGCUCUUAAUGAGGAGAGGCGACUGGUGAGGGUGCACUGCAGUUACAGUGGAGACCCCAGCAUAUUUGACAUGUCAGGAACAUGGGAUCGAUUCUGAGGACAGAAGGCACAGUGGAGUUGAGCUUGCUCAAUGGAGCAAGCCCAGAUGACUUUGUGGUGCUGGCUGCAGUCGUCACAUGGAACACUGAUGUGCCAUGCCCUCUGCCUCCUGUUAGCCUCUCUCCGCUUAAG